ACGGAAGGCAGCAGUGAGGAAUAUUGGUCAAUGGACGGAAGUCUGAACCAGCCAAGUCGCGUGAAGGAAGACGGUUCUAUGGAUUGUAAACUUCUUUUGUCCGAGGGUAAAGUGAGAGAUGCGUCUCUUAUUGCAAGUAUCGGACGAAUAAGCAUCGGCUAACUCCGUGCCAGCAGCCGCGGUAAUACGGAGGAUGCGAGCGUUAUCCGGAUUUAUUGGGUUUAAAGGGUGCGUAGGCGGAUGAUUAAGUCUGUGGUGAAAGCGUGCGGCUCAACCGUACCGAGCCAUGGAAACUGGUUGUCUUGAGUGUAAACGAGGUAGGCGGAAUGUGACAUGUAGCGGUGAAAUGCUUAGAUAUGUCACAGAACUCCGAUUGCGAAGGCAGCUUACCAGCAUACAACUGACGCUGAGGCACGGAAGCGUGGGUAUCAAACAGGAUUAGAUACCCUGGUA
rnacentral:rRNA from 1 species